rnacentral:tRNA from 1 species
CAGAUAGUAGUUUAAAUUAAAACACCGGCUUUGGGUGCCAAAAAUCACUUUACGUGCUACCUGA